rnacentral:sRNA from 1 species
CAGGACAGUUAUAGCACAGGCAGUGACAGUGAGAGCUUUCCCCAUACCACCCCAUCCAUGUGCCUCAAUCUUGACCUGGAGGUACCACCUUUAGA